GAAACACUCAAAACAUAUCUGUGAUUCAAGAUAGAGAAAUAUAAUGAAUCAUGGAAUCAUAGAAUAUCCCAAGUUGGAAGGGACCCAUAAGGAUCAUCAAGUCCAACUCCUGGCAUUGUACAGGUCUACCCAAGAAUUCAGACCAUGUGACUAGGUGCACAGUCCAAAUGCUUCUUAAAUUCAGACAGGGUUGGUGCAGUGACUACUUCACUGGGAAACCUG